UACGUAGGGUGCGAGCGUUAAUCGGAAUUACUGGGCGUAAAGCGUGCGCAGGCGGUUUUGUAAGCCAGAUGUGAAAUCCCCGGGCUUAACCUGGGAACGGCAUUUGGGACUGCAAGGCUCGAGUGCGGCAGAGGAGACUGGAAUUCCUGGUGUAGCAGUGAAAUGCGUAGAUAUCAGGAGGAACACCGAUGGCGAAGGCAGGUCUCUGGGCUGACACUGACGCUCAUGCACGAAAGCGUGGGGAGCAAACAGG
rnacentral:rRNA from 1 species